rnacentral:rRNA from 1 species
AUUGAACGCUGGCGGCAGGCCUAACACAUGCAAGUCGAACGGUAACAGGAAGCAGCUUGCUGCUUUGCUGACGAGUGGCGGACGGGUGAGUAAUGUCUGGGAAACUGCCUGAUGGAGGGGGAUAACUACUGGAAACGGUAGCUAAUACCGCAUAACGUCGCAAGACCAAAGAGGGGGACCUUCGGGCCUCUUGCCAUCGGAUGUGCCCAGAUGGGAUUCGCUUGUUGGUGGGGUAACGGCUCACCAAGGCGACGAUCCCUAGCUGGUCUGAGAGGAUGACCAGCCACACUGGAACUGAGACACGGUCCAGACUCCUACGGGAGGCAGCAGUGGGGAAUAUUGCACAAUGGGCGCAAGCCUGAUGCAGCCAUGCCGCGUGUAUGAAGAAGGCCUUCGGGUUGUAAAGUACUUUCAGCGGGGAGGAAGGGAGUAAAGUUAAUACCUUUACUCAUUGACGUUACCCGCAGAAGAAGCACCGGCUAACUCCGUG